rnacentral:rRNA from 1 species
UACGUAGGGACCAAGCGUUGUUCGGAUUUACUGGGCGUAAAGAGCGUGUAGGCGGCCAAACAGGUCCGUUGUGAAAACUGGAGGCUUAACCUCCAGACGUCGACGGAAACCGUGUGGCUAGAGUCCGGAAGAGGAGAGUGGAAUUCCUGGUGUAGCGGUGAAAUGCGUAGAGAUCGGGAGGAACACCAGAGGCGAAGGCGGCGACCUGGACAGGUACUGACACUCAACUACGAAAGCGUGGGGAGCGAACAGG